rnacentral:lncRNA from 1 species
AGUCUCGUCCCAUGACAAGAUGGUGAAGGUCAGUGUGAAUGGAUUUGGCCUAUUGGCUGCCUUCUGCUCUGCAUCUGGCAAAGUGGACAUUGUUGCCAUCAACGACCCUUCAUUGACCUCAAUUACAUGGUCUACGUGUUCCUGUAUGACUCUACCCACGGCAAGUUCAACGGCACAGUCAAGGCUGAGAAUGGGAAGCUUGUCAUCAACGGGAAGCCAUCACCAUCUUCCAGGAGCGAGAUCCCGCUAACAUCAAAUGGGUGACGC